rnacentral:rRNA from 1 species
UGCGUAGGCGGUAGUUCAAGUGGAAAGUCAAAUUCUGAGUAAAGGAGCGCUGUCGGCGGUUUUCCUACCCUUACUACUAGAGUUUGCUCAUGUUCGUUGUAUUUCUAGGGGAGAGGGAAAUUCGGUAAUCCUAGGAGGAAGAUCGGCGGUGUAGACGUCGAACGGGAGUAAACUGACGCUGAGUCACGAAAGCGUGGGGAGCAACAGG